ACUAGCUCUAAGUGAACGUUCUCUUCUACUCUUAUACCAAAAAGAAAUUUAAUUAAAGUCUCUGACUCGAAUAAUCCAUUGGUGUUGGGAAACAGAAUUUGAACUCGACCAACGAAAGAAGAAAAAAACCGAAAUUGAUUUGCUGAUUAACUCUCAACAAAUGGUGCUCUCGGUGAUUUUACACGCAGGUGCCGUCCCUCUCUCAUUGGAAGAUCAAGUCCAUUACUAUCCGUCAUCAUCAACGACCUUCCAAUCAUCAACCAUCUUCCAAUCGUCGUCACCUGCCAGUCCCGAAUACGUGCAACAUCAGCAACGGAGACGGUGCAACAGGAACGAAAAUUAUUCUUUUCUUCAGAAAAUGAUUCUUUUCUUCAGCAAAUUGGAAAGCUGCCUGGAGUAAUCUGGUGUUCAUGCUCAUUUGAUUCAUUUCGUGCCAGCUAGUGAAAGCCGAAAGGCAUGUCGAAUUAAAUUGAGCUUCUGCGUGCUGUCUCGAAGCAAGCAAUCCAGCCGUUGCGUUCAGUCAUUUGGAACAGGAAUCUAGUGGCUGUCGAAGUGUCAAUAGUAUAGUCAAAUUGUGCCCAAAAAGUGGGUUAACCCCAAACAAAUUAUUAACUGUAUUUUUGUUCGUGAGCACUGUUUUACUAUAAAAAUGUAGUUAUUUUUAAAAUACUAGUUAAAAAUAUCGUGUAGAACAUGUAUAAAUCGUGAUUUGAAAUUUUAU